UGAGUAACGCGUGGGUAACCUGCCUUAUACAGGGGGAUAACAGUCAGAAAUGGCUGCUAAUACCGCAUAAGCGCACAGAGCUGCAUGGCUCGGUGUGAAAAACUACCGGUGGUAUAAGAUGGACCCGCGUUGGAUUAGCUUAUUGGUGGGGUAACGGCCCACCAAGGCGACGAUCCAUAGCCGGCCUGAGAGGGUGAACGGCCACAUUGGGACUGAGACACGGCCCAGACUCCUACGGGAGGCAGCAUG
rnacentral:rRNA from 1 species